rnacentral:lncRNA from 1 species
GUUUGGAUACCCACUAGACAUUUGAAGUUCUACAAUGAACCCAUCAGAGAUGCAAAGAAAAUCGCCUCCACGGAGAUGGAAACACCAGCCACAUGGAUGGAUAAUCCUAUUGAAGUAUAUGUUAAUGAUAGAGUAUGGGUACCUGGCCCCACAGAUGAUUGUUGCCCUGCCAAACCUGAGGAAGAAGGGAUGAUGAUAAAUAUUUCCACUGGGUAUCGUUAUUCUCCUAUAUUUGCCUAGGGAGAGCACCAGGAUGUUUAAUGCCUGCAGUCCAAAGUUGGUUGGUAGAAGUACCUACUGUCAGUCCCGUCAGUAGAUUCACUUAACACAUGCACCAUAUUCUGCUGAUGAGAGCAAGAGAAGGCGUGUGGAUCCCUGUGUCCAUGGACCUACCGUGAGAGGCCUCACCAUCCGUCCAUAUUUUGACUGAAGUAUUAAAAUGUGUUUUUAAAUAGAUCUAAAAUAUUCACUUUUACUUUAAUUACAGUGAUUAUGGGAUUAAUUGCAGUCACAGCUACGGCUGCUGUGGCAGGAGUUGCAUUGCACUCUUCUGUUCAGUCAGUAAACUUUGUUCAUGAUUGGCAAAAAAUUCUACAAGAUUGUGGAAUUCACAAUCUGGUAUUGAUCAAAAAUUGGCAAAUCAAAUUAAUGAUCUUAGACAAACUGUCAUUUGGAUGGGAGACAGGCUCAUGAGCUUAGAACAUCGUUUCCAGUUACAAUGUGACUGGAAUAUGUCAGAGUUUUGUAUUACACCCCAAAUUUAUAAUGAGUCUGAGCAUCACUGGGACAUGGUUAGAGCAUCACUGGGACAUGGUUAGACGCCAUCUACAGGGGAGAGAAAAUAAUCUCACUUUAGACAUUUCCAAAUUAAAAGAACAAAUUUUCGAAACAUCAAAAGCCUAUUUAAAUUUGGUGCCAGGAACUGAGGCAAUCCCAGGAGUUGCUGAUGGCCUCGCAAAUCCUAACCCUGUCACUUGGGUUAAGACCAUCGGAUGUACUACGAUUAUAAAUUUCAUAUUAAUCCUUGUGCCUGUUUUGUCUUGUUAGUCUGCAGGUGUACCCAACAGCUCCGAAGAGACAGCGACCAUCGAGAACGGGCCAUGAUGAUGAUGGCGGUUUUGUUGAAAAGAGAAGGGGGAAAUGUGGGGAAAAGAAAGAGAUCAGAUUGUUACUGUGUCUGUGUAGAAAGAAGUAGACAUAGGAGACUCCAUUUUGUUCUGUACUAAGAAAAAUUCUUCUGCCUUGAGAUGCUGUUAAUCUGUAACCUUACCCCCAACCCUGUGCUCUCUGAAACACAUGCUGUGUCAACUCAGGGUUAAAUGGAUUAAGGGCGGUGCAAGAUGUGCUUUGUUAAACAUGCUUGAAGGCAGCAUGCUCCUUAGGAGUCAUCACCACUCCCUAAUCUCAAGUACCCAGGGACACAAAACACUGCAGAAGGCCGCAGGGACCUCUGCCUAGGAAAACCAGGUAUUGUCCAAGGUUUCUCCCCAUGUGAUAGUCUGAAAUAUGGCCUCGUGGGAAGGGAAAGACCUGACCGUCCCCCAGCCCGACACCCAUAAAGGGUCUGUGCUGAGGAGGAUUAGUAUAAGAGGAAGGAAUGCCUCUUUGCAGUUGGGACAAGAGGAAGGCAUCUGUCUCCUGCCCAUCCCUGGGCAAUGGAAUGUCUCGGUAUAAAACCCGAUUGUAUGUUCCAUCUACUGAGAUAGGGGAAAACUGCCUUAGGGCUGGAGGUGGGACAUGCAGGCAGCAAUACUGCUCUGUAAGGCAUUGAGAUGUUUAUGUGUAUGCAUAUCUAAAGCACAGCACUUAAUUCUUUACCUUGUCUAUGAUGCAGAGACCUUUGUUCACGUGUUUAUCUGCUGACCUCACCACUAUUAUCCUAUGACCCUGCCACAUCCCCCUCUCCGAGAAACACCCAAUAAUGAUCAAUAAAUACUAAGGGAACUCAGAGGCCGAGGUGGGAUCCUCUAUUUGCUGAAUGCUGGUCCCCUGGGCCCCCUUAUUUCUUUCUCUAUACUUUGUCUAUGUGUCUUUUUCUUUUUCAAGUCUCUCAUUCCACCUAACGGGAAACACCCACAGGUGUGGAGGGGCAACCCACCCC